UACGUAGGUGGCGAGCGUUGUCCGGAUUUAUUGGGUUUAAAGGGUGCGUAGGCGGUCCUAUAAGUCAGUGGUGAAAUAUCGCAGCUCAACUGUGAGGGUGCCAUUGAUACUGUAGGACUUGAGUGAAUUUGAGGUAGGCGGAAUUGACGGUGUAGCGGUGAAAUGCUUAGAUAUCGUCAAGAACACCGAUAGUGAAGACAGCUUACCAAGCUUCAACUGACGCUGAGGCACGAAGGUGUGGGGAUCAAACAGG
rnacentral:rRNA from 1 species